rnacentral:rRNA from 1 species
CCUACGGGUGGCAGCAGUGGGGAAUAUUGCACAAUGGGGGAAACCCUGAUGCAGCGACGCCGCGUGAGUGAAGAAGUAAUUCGUUACGUAAAGCUCUAUCAGCAGGGAAGAAAAUGACGGUACCUGAGUAAGAAGCCCCGGCUAACUACGUGCCAGCAGCCGCGGUAAUACGUAGGGGGCAAGCGUUAUCCGGAUUUACUGGGUGGAAAGGGAGCGUAGACGGUGCGCCAAGUCUGGAGUGAAAUGCCGCAGCUUAACUGCGGAACUGCUUUGGAAACUGGCGAACUAGAGUGCGGGAGGGGUAAGCGGAAUUCCUAGGGUAGCGGUGAAAUGCGUAGAUAUUAGGAGGAACACCGGUUGCGAAGGCAGCUUACCAAGCUACUUCUGACGUUGAGGCACGAAAGCGUGGGGAGCAAACAGGAUUAGAUACCCGAGUAGUC